rnacentral:rRNA from 1 species
CCUACGGGCGGCAGCAGUGGGGGAUAUUGCACAAUGGGGGAAACUCUGAUGCAGCGACGCCGCGUGAGGGAUGACGGUCUUCGGAUUGUAAACCUCUUUCUUUGGGGAAGAAAAUGACGGUACCCAAAUAGGAAGCUCCGGCUAACUACGUGCCAGCAGCCGCGGUAAUACGUAGGGAGCGAGCGUUGUCCGGAAUUACUGGGUGUAAGGGGAGCGUAGGCGGGCGAGAAAGUUGAAUGUUAAAUCUACCGGCUUAACGGGUAGCUGCGUUUAAAACUUCUUGGCUUGAGUGGAGGAGAGGCAGGCGGAAUUCCUAGUGUAGCGGUGAAAUGCGUAGAUAUUAGGAGGAACACCAGUGGCGAAGGCGGCCUGCUGGGCUUUAACUGACGCUGAGGCUCGAAAGCGUGGGGAGCAAACAGGAUUAGAUACCCGAGUAGUC